GACCUUCACUUGAACUUCUCUCCUCGGCCAAAGAGCUGCCUCCACUGGACCAUUUGCUUCCCUCCAGGAUUUUCUAGUUUUGGGCAGUGAACAAUAGAAGGCACUUUGCCUCCCCAAAAUCCCGUCUAACUGGAAGCCUCUUGUCAUCAUCUAUUUUCAAGUUUUUUUAGUUUUUUUUUUUAAGCUUUAAUUUUAGUGAGUCAGUGCAGGGAAGCCACUGAAAACGCAUAUAAACAAAAAUGAAUUUUCAUACUGACCAUAGUCAUAAAUUGUACAAAAGUAUUCAUCAUCUCCACUUUGACAAAGGGUUGCUAUUUUCAAAUGACCUUUUCUUAUGGGGAUUCUCAAAAUAUAAGAUGUUACAGUGGUCAGGAAUGUGGUAAUCUCUUUACUACCAGUGAUUCUAUUUCUUAACAGAAUUUUGCUUCCCAGUGCAGAUGGUUUGAUAUAGUAACAUUCAAAGCAGCCAGCCCUUAGGAAAUGCCAAGGCCAAUAUUUGAAUGCAGAUACAAGUUUUAACAAAGGAAAAUGUAGUAUAUCCUUGUAGCUGUUUGCCUGUGAAUAUUCCCCUGGAGGGCUAAUACACUAUUCUUGAAUCUAAUCCAAGUCAAGCCAACUCUAAAAAUCCUGUGAAGUACCGACUAAUAAGGCACAUACAAUUCCUUUUCAACAGUUUUCUUGAGUGUCUACUAUGUACCAGGUAAGAGGCAAUUGUGCUAUUGUUUGAAACCUUGAACUUUCAUCCUGACUUGGGGGUAGAAGUGAGGACAAGGAAGGUGGAAUUUUAAGGUUGGAUCCCCUUGGUUUUGUUAAAUUGUUAAAGUAUUUGUAUUUAAUGGCAAUCUUUAAAACAUUUAUUGAAUUCUGUCUUACAUUUUUAGUCAUUUUUAUAAGUCAAGGAGAGAAAAUCAAUGUUUAAGCCAGCCCAUUUAUUAGAAAGUGAAUGCCAGCACAGGCUUAACUUCUGGCUUUCCAACUGGAAGACAACAUUUUAUAAUGAUGUUAUUUCACUUCAUGCCAGGUGAUAAUUCCACUGUAGCUUCAUUGUGAUUGGUGACCAUAGCUCACUCAAGCUGAUUCUCACUUCCUGACUGUAAGGAGCCACAGAGAAAAAACAAAUCAUUCUUCUUCUGGCACCCUUGCUGGAGGAGGAGUAAGGGAAGAGGCAGACGGCUAGAUUGGCCCCAUCCUCAUAGUUUUUUGGGAGAAUUUGGAGCAGGACCAGCUCAGAUCAAAGUUUCAAAGAAUACUGGUCUUAUAAGAAGUGAUGAGCUCUGUUAUCUUUGCCUCUGAGCCCAAAACACAGAAAACUUCAAUGGAUCUGGAGACAUACCAGUAUGAGAAGCCCCCCUCCACUCUUUACAGUGUCUGCUCAUACUGCUUGUCUUAGCCACAUACUUCACUUUUCAGUCACCAAACCCCUCUUCCCUUGUCCUUUCCCCCAUACCAUCCCUGGCCCAUGCUUUGCAAGUGGGCUUGCCUCCAGGAAUCAAACUGGGUGGAUGCUAUGAUGUCAGAACACCAGGCAGCAGUGUUUCUAACGUGUUAGACCAUGGUUGUCUUUUUCUUUUCCUGGAAAAGUACACUAAGUGCAAGUUGUCUCCCAGGCCAUGAGGCACACAUCCAAAUGCCCUACGUGGUGGGCCCGCCCAGGCCCAGGAGAGUGUGGAGAACAAGUGUGUCAUAUGGGUGUGUUCACUAGUCCUGCUCCCCCUCUGUCUCAUCAUUGACCACAUUCUCUUGACAAGCCAUAUGGCCUGGGAGUGACCUGGAAUAUAUUAAGGGCAUUGGUUUGUAGAACACUUGCAGAGCAAGGGAGCAAUAGCAGAGUGGUAUUUUAGAGUUGGUAAUUCAUUUAAUGUACAUUUAUUGAGGAUGUUUGGUAUGGUAGGCCUUGUGGUAGGUACUGGGAACGCAAUAAUGAAUUUGGAGCUAUGGUCUACUGGGAAGAUGUACAAGUAAAUAGGCAAUUAUGAUAUCGUAUGCAUCAGAAACCCUGGAUCCAAGAUCCCUAGUUAAUAGCUCUAUUAUGUUGGGCAAGUCAUGUUGCUUGUUGAACCCUCUGUGUCUGAAUCUGCAAAUUAAGGAUAUUCUGAGGGUUAAAUAACAUGGAUGCAGGCCAGGCAUGGUGGCUCACGCCUGUAAUCCCAGCACUUUGGGAGGCUGAGGUAGGUGGAUCACAAGCUUAGGAGAUCGAGACCAUCCUGGCUAACACAGUGAAACCCUGUCUCUACUGAAAAUGCAAAAACAAAAUUAGCUGGUGUGGUGGCGGGCACCUGUAGUCCCACUACUUGGGAGGCUGAAGUGGGAGAAUGGCAUGAACCCGGGAGGUGGAGCUUGCAGUGAGCCAAUAUUGGGCCACUGCACUCCAGCCUGGGCGACAGAGUGAGACUCCACCUCAAAAAAAAAUAAAUAAAUAAAAACAAAAAUAAAUAAAUAAAUAACAUGGAUCCAUAUUAAUGCUCUUAGUAGUUAUGACUUUUUCUUACCCAUUAACAUGAACUGACCUUACAAAAUUAUUCCUCCUAUCCAUGUAAGAAGUUGGAGAGAAAACCAAGGGGAAGAAAUUUGACUCAAUACCUAUUAUCUGGUUAUCAAGAGUAUACAAUUUAAGCUGUUGGAACAAAUGUUAGAGAAAAAGUUACUCAUCUGCUUUGACAGUAAGACUUUUACCAAGAGAAAAUGUCUACAUUUUCAUUUUUUACUGAAAAGUAGGAAUACAGUACCAUGCAUUAUAUUAUAAUCUUGUUUUAAUUGCAAUUAGAGAAUACAUGGAGUGAAUCUAUAAUGAAUAGGUUGUUUUAAGCUUCUAAGUUAUUAUUUUGGAUGCUAUUCUCUAAUGAAAUAAUGAUGCAAUUAAUUUGGGGAUACUAUUGAUGUAUGAGGCCUUGAGGAAGGAGAUUGUAUUAAAAUACAAUUGAGCUGUGUGUAUCAGAAAAUCCAAAUUAACAUGGGUUUAAACAACAGAGAAGUUGACUUCUCCCACAUAAAUAUAGACAAGCCAGCAUCAAUAUGGUGGAUAGCUUCUUCAUUAUCAGGUACUUGGGCUCAUUCUAUCAUGUGUUUUCACCAACUUCAAGCCAUGACUCUUACUUUAUGGUCCAAGAUAGCUGCAUUCUGACCCACAGCAAGAAGGAAGGCAUGAAGGAGGGCAAGCCCCCCACCCCCACCUCUAAGGAGACUCCACAGAAAGCAGAACCUAGUCACCAGGCAUAUCUAGCUGCAACGGAGGCUAGGAAAUGUAGUCUUUACUCUGGGUAGCCAUGUGCCCAGUUUAAAUUCAGACUUCUAUUACUAAAGAAAAGGAGAAUGGAUAUAGGGAGACAACCAACAGUUUUAGCCAUAGGAUGUCUAGGCUUGUGCUUUGCUCUUUA
rnacentral:lncRNA from 10 species